CCUACGGGGGGCAGCAGUGGGGAAUAUUGGACAAUGGGCGAAAGCCUGAUCCAGCCAUGCCGCGUGUGUGAAGAAGGCCUUCGGGUUGUAAAGCACUUUCAGUGGGGAAGAAAGCCUUGGGGCUAAUACCCUCGAGGAAGGACAUCACCCACAGAAGAAGCACCGGCUAACUCCGUGCCAGCAGCCGCGGUAAUACGGAGGGUGCGAGCGUUAAUCGGAAUUACUGGGCGUAAAGCGAGCGUAGGCGGUCUGAUAAGCCGGUUGUGAAAGCCCCGGGCUCAACCUGGGAACGGCAUCCGGAACUGUCAGGCUAGAGUGCAGGAGAGGAAGGUAGAAUUCCCGGUGUAGCGGUGAAAUGCGUAGAGAUCGGGAGGAAUACCAGUGGCGAAGGCGGCCUUCUGGACUGACACUGACGCUGAGGUGCGAAAGCGUGGGUAGCAAACAGGAUUAGAUACCCUUGUAGUC
rnacentral:rRNA from 1 species